GACGAACGCUGGCGGCGUGCUUAACACAUGCAAGUCGAACGGAAAGGCCCUGCUUUUGUGGGGUGCUCGAGUGGCGAACGGGUGAGUAACACGUGAGUAACCUGCCCUUGACUUUGGGAUAACUUCAGGAAACUGGGGCUAAUACCGGAUAGGAGCUCCUGCUGCAUGGUGGGGGUUGGAAAGUUUCGGCGGUUGGGGAUGGACUCGCGGCUUAUCAGCUUGUUGGUGGGGUAGUGGCUUACCAAGGCUUUGACGGGUAGCCGGCCUGAGAGGGUGACCGGCCACCUUGGGACUGAGAUACGGCCCAGACUCCUACGGGAGGCAGAAGUGGGGAAUAUUGCACAAUGGGCGGAAGCCUGAUGCAGCAACGCCGCGUGCGGGAUGACGGCCUUCGGGUUGUAAACCGCUUUCGCAUGUGACGAAGCGUGAGUGACGGUAAUGGGUAAAGAAGCACCGGCUAACUACGUG
rnacentral:rRNA from 1 species